UACGUAGGGUGCGAGCGUUAAUCGGAAUUACUGGGCGUAAAGCGCACGCAGGUGGCUGAGUCAGUCGAUUGUGAAAGCCCUGGGCUUAACCUGGGAAUUGCAGUCGAUACUACUCAGCUAGAGUAUGGGAGAGGGUAGUGGAAUUCCCGGUGUAGCGGUGAAAUGCGUAGAUAUCGGGAGGAACAUCAGUGGCGAAGGCGGCUACCUGGCCCAGCCCUGACGCUCAGACACGACAGCAUGGGGAGCGAACGGG
rnacentral:rRNA from 1 species